CAUAAACAUGCAAAGUUGGCACCGGCUGCCGCACCGCGAAAGAUGACAUGCAGGUAGCGCCGUACUUGUAAAACUGUUGUGCUACAGACUCCGACAGUUUGCCGUUAUGAUAACCUCAUGGACAGUGCUGAGAAAUACACCCAUGUCCGAGGUUAACCAACACAUGGAAUAGUGAUGCAAAUUUUUGUGUGUUCAAAUCUGUUGCUACCUCGGAUUUAAGUAUUUCUUCGUUCAUUUGCUCUCAUCGCUUCUCGUUAUUUCGAUACUACUCAGCUUAGCUAUACUCAGCCGGUUUUCUGCUUUGGUGGGACAAGAUGGAAAUGUGGUAAACCGGAAGGAAUUUUUGGACUAACAAUAAUAAUGGGGAUGUCUCAGCGCAACAGUGUAUAUAUAAUAUGGGUGGUGAUCGUGGUGUUGGUGACCAUGGCGGAACAAGGGGUCUGCUUGCACUGCUAUCAGUGUGACAGUGACAUACAUCCUGGAUGCACCUUAGCCCCUAAACCCGAAGCCCUAGGGGAAUACCUGAUUGACUGUACCGGGAUAUCCAACGUGACACAGUGCGUUAAAACAGUUGGACCUGCAAGUAAAAUCAUACGCGGCUGUUCGGCAGUGAUGUCAACGGAAUCCCGAUGCACUUCAGAGCGAGGACUGAUCAUAUGUACAUGCGAUACCGAUUUAUGUAAUAACUCGCAUCGUGCGAAAUGGCGCGUGGGCAUUAUUUAUUCCGGCUUUUUUCUUUUUUCGCUUUGUUAUAAUUAUGUUUGAAACAUUGGAUUCGAGUCAAAAAUUUCUAUCAUUCUGUCCACAAUAUUGAUCAUAUCCUGAAAAUCUGUUUAUCUGCGCGCCGCCGAAAAAAAAUCAGUGCUUCUUGACUAACAGUGAUUUCUUCGUUAUUUAGCAAUGAGCUAUGUACUGUGCACUGUCUUUCCUGUGAUACGGUUCCGCCAUGAUGCGAUAUUAAAACUAGUACUAUG